GGCCACAGUACUCAUCACGGCUUCGCAGGGACCCGCUUGCUUCCGCAUACACACUCGUGAAGUUAUUCGCGGUCUUUCUCCCCUCCUCCUUUCCUUGUACUUCGCUCUGUACCUCUUUCCUUGUUGUUUCCCGUUGAGUGUUCCACUCAUCACUUGUGAGUGCACUCUGCCGUGCGCUUGCUCCUCUCUGCUACUUGUUGCUUUUUUCUCGUCGUCGGUGUUUGUGCACCCUUUUUCAUCAUCUCUCCUCCUCCAUCUCCUACUCCACGCCCCCACCCCCUCACCUCUAUUGAAGCCAGUGGCCGCCGUGGUUUGAUUUGUAUACAUACGACACCGCGACCCGCGUGCCUCCGUCGAGAACACUCACUCGAACACCAAAGUCCGAGUUUAACCGGACGUUAGCGUUUCCCGCCUUUUCCCUCCGGCGAACGCGAGAGCCCAUUCCACUGCCGCGAGGGCAGGCUAGAAAACGAGGACCCGCGUCUGCGUGUGUUCGUAUUAAGGCGCAGAGCACAAGAUGUCGUCUGCUGCCAAGGACAGCUGUCCGGCGGAGUCGUCGGGCCACCUCAACAACGAGAAGGCGCAGUUGUCGAAGAUUCCCUCCAGUCAUCCCGACCCCUCGAAGGUGGCUGUCGCGUCAAAAGUAAAGGCCGCCUAUUCCUUUGAGAGGCCGGACACCUCCAGCUGGAAACUCUCGGAUUUCGAACUGAAGAACACGCUCGGCACCGGCUCCUUCGGCCGCGUGCGCAUCGCCCACCGCAAGGGCACGGAGGAGUACUACGCGAUCAAGUGCCUGAGAAAGCGCGAGAUCAUCAAGAUGAAGCAGCAGCAGCACGUUGCGCAGGAAAAGGGGAUCCUAAUGGAGCUGUGCCACCCGUUCAUCGUGAACAUGAUGUGCUCCUUCCAGGACGAGAAGAAGGUGUACUUUGUGCUGGAGUUCGUCAUGGGCGGCGAGAUGUUCACACACCUGCGCACUGCCGGGCGGUUCCCGAAUGACGUUGCGAAGUUCUACCACGCGGAGCUGGUGCUUGCGUUCGAGUAUCUGCACUCGCUGGACGUGAUCUACCGCGAUCUGAAGCCGGAGAAUCUUCUGCUGGACAACAAGGGGCACGUGAAGGUGACGGACUUUGGGUUUGCGAAGAAGGUGCCAGACCGGACGUUCACGCUGUGCGGGACACCGGAAUAUCUUGCGCCGGAGGUGAUCCAGAGCAAGGGCCACGGGAAGGCGGUGGACUGGUGGACGAUGGGCGUGCUGCUGUACGAAUUCAUUGCCGGAUACCCGCCGUUCUACGACGACACGCCGUUCCGAAUUUACGAGAAGAUCCUUGCUGGGCGGCUGAAGUUCCCGAACUGGUUCGACGGCCGUGCGCGCGACCUCGUGAAGGGGCUGCUGCAGACAGACCAUACGAAGCGCCUGGGGACGCUGAAAGGCGGGCCGGCGGACGUGAAGAGCCACCCGUACUUCCACGGUGCGAACUGGGACAAGCUGUACGCACGCUACUACCCCGCGCCGAUCCCUGUGCGGGUGAAGAGCCCUGGCGACACGAGCAACUUCGAGAAGUACCCGGACAGCCCGGUCGACCGCACGCCUGCGCUGACGUCGGCGCAGCAGGCCGAAUUCAAUGGCUUUUAGCUCCCUAUGCCGGGAUAGUAGCGAGACGGGUACACGGAGCAGGGGCGCCGUUUGCUUGUUGCUCCUACAGUAGCUGCGUGCAAAUCCAAACAUCUUCGCCGCCUGCCCAACUUGUUCGCGUCUUUCGACUUUUUGCUGCGAGAGUGUGUUUAGGGCCUUGCUCCUCUUCCAUUCAUACACAUCCUACGCCAACCCCUCUUGGGUGUGCACAAGCACUGCUGUUGAUGUUGUCACGAUGUAAAGCAAAGCAAGUAACAACAAAACAAAACAAAAAGCACACAUGCGAUCGCGCGUUGAUGGCGGCUCUUUCUCUCCUCUCUCUCUUCUUGUGCUCUGUGUGCUGGUUGGCCCCCCUUGUUGCGUUCUUUCUGUGCUCUUCGCCCCCUCCCUCCCUCACAUUUUCUUUUUCGAUGCGCGUUGUCGAUGUCUCUGUUGUUGAUCGACUCGUGCCUCCCUUAUGUUUUCUGUUCUCUUUUUCGCUCAUUGUGCACUGCAAG
rnacentral:misc_RNA from 1 species